rnacentral:lncRNA from 1 species
AUGAAACGGUGCCGGGGGAGGGGGGGGGAAGCGCGCGGGAGCCCCGUCGCGGAGCAUCCGAGAAGCCCGGCGGCGCGAGCAAGCAACACACCCAGCAUCGGGGAUGCUGAACACACGCCUUCCUUUAUAAGGAUCAAAGUUCCGCGGCCGUUUCCUUGUACAGCAGAAACGCGGAGCGGCAGCCGCACGGAAAAUUGUGUUUUCGGCAACUUUCGCAGAUUUCACGCUGCGCCCCUCCUGGCAAACGGCGGUACUGCAGCUUCUUCUGCCCCGACCGCUCCUCUCGUAAUAGAAGCGCGGGGAAUCCUACUGGCUAACUAUGCAGAAGUUGGGAGAUCUAAUGGUUUUGCAACCGUUUCCGAAGGAGUACUCUAACAUAGCAUUAUUAUUUUUUCAGUGUUAGGUUUUGGACUACAUCUCGCAGAAUCCCCCAGCCAGCAGCCGGAAGAAAGUAGCAAUCAGAAAAUAAGCAGUUUCCAAAUUUUGAGGGGGGGAAACAUUUAGGACAGAACAGUUAAAACAAUUUCACAACUUAUUUAUUUCAUACCAGUUAGCCAGGACUAGGGAGCUGCCUUGUAUCCGUUUAAGGAGGAAGGCAGGGUAGAAAUAAGUUAAAACACAAAACAACAACAACAACAACAACAACAACAACAACAACAACAACAACAACAACAACAACAACAACAACAACAGGCACAGUCAAUCAAAGCUAUAAAAGCUUUGACUGGUACUAUGUAAUAGAUACAAGUUUUAACCAAAAGCUUAAAUACUGGUUAAAUAUUGGAGCAGUAUGUAUGCAAUUCCUUAUAUUACAGUUUUUUGUAACUCUGCUGGUGUUAUUCCCGAGAUCCACAAGUGCUUAUAGUACUGUGUUACAUUUCUUGAUAUUGUUCCCAAAACCCCAGUGACUACGGGAACCACUGAAGUGUGCUUCAUCCACAAGAGAUGUUUCAAUUGUCAGGUCUCUAUUUUGUUAGUUUUUCCAAUUCUUUAUUUUCAACUCUGACACCCCCCUGGAAUUGCAAUGUCAGUGAUCCAGACCUUCGUUCUAUUACUGCUAUGUCUGGUGUGUUAUGUUCAAGGUGUCUGUCAGUUUGGAUCCAGAAAUCCCACACGAGCUUGACUUCCUCAUUUUCUGACACCUUCUCUAUCUGUUCCCAUGGGUUUUUGGAGGCUGGCAAGUUUUAUUUAUUUUGCAUAAUGACUAGUGCACUAAUUUUGCCACUUUAUCCCGUCCAAUUUGAGAUGUGACACCAUUUCAUAUAUUUUUUUCACAGUGCUGUUAGCACUAAUUCUUUGGAUCUUAGCUUUCAUCACGUUGGUUUGAAGUGCUUGUUGUUGUGCAGCAAAAAUCAAGCCUUCGGUUUCUUUCUUA